AAUCGAUAACAACAAACAAUCGGAACUUCUAGCAAAUGAACAACACUAACAGCUGUAACAACAAGCAAAUGUAAACAACAAAGAUCGGGUCCCGGUUCCGGACCCAACGGACCCUACCUGAGACGAUCACCUGAUCUCGUCUCCCUCAUUUUGGCCACUAGAUGGCCUGCAUCAGCUCGUGUCGGCUGUUAUGCCUCCUCUCCCCUUCAAUUGACACAUAGCCGGA